rnacentral:rRNA from 1 species
GACGUAGGAGGCGAGCGUUGUCCGGAUUCAUUGGGCGUAAAGAGCACGCAGGCGGUUUGGCAAGUCGGACGUGAAAAUCCGGGGCUCAACCCCGGACCUGCAUCCGAAACUGCCCGACUAGAGGUAGGUAGGGGAGAUCGGAAUUCCUGGCGUAGCGGUGAAAUGCGCAGAUAUCAGGAGGAACACCGGUGGCGAAGGCGGAUCUCUGGGCCUUACCUGACGCUCAGGUGCGAAAGCUAGGGGAGCGAACAGG